CCUGACGGUAGUCGUAUGCUCGUCUCCGAGACUAAGCCAUGCAAGUCCAAGUACACGUCCUUGAACGACGGAAACUGCGAACGGCUCAUUAAAUCAGUUGCGAUCUACUCGGCGUUCCGCGCCGCCGGAUAACCGUAGUAAUUCUAGGGCUAAUACGUGCGAAGCGCCCGAAGCCGCGAGGCGACGGGCGUUCUCGCCGGAUGUAGGAACCGACCCGGGGACCGCCGGGGCAACCCGGCGCCCCCGAGACGGGGCGAACCACGGUGAAAUGACGGAUCGUCGGCCCCGCGCCGGCGACUCGCCGAAUGAAUUUCUGACCUAUCAACUCGAGACGGCGGGGUAGAGGCCCGCCGCGGUAACGACGGGUAACGGGGAAUCAGGGUUCGAUUCCGGAGAGGGAGCCCGAGAAACGGCUACCACUUCCAAGGAAGGCAGC
rnacentral:rRNA from 1 species